AGCGCACCGCUGCACCCUCGGCUGGCGACUCAGGAGCCCUGCGGCGCUUUAGGGCGUGGAACCAGGUUUUGCUGGAUGCAUCCUCCCAAGGGCCCUGGGGCUGCUCGAAAUGUAGGAUGGAAAUGCCAAGGGCAUAGAACUGCCCUGUUCUUUGUGUAAUGUUCCCCCCCCCCCACUUGCCCAUGACAAAGGCCUAUCCAUCUGGACCCGCAGGUGACUGUUUCCUGGGCUGCCUGUGUGUAAUUCCAGCACACAGUUCUUCGGCGGGAAAACACCUUGUUUACUCUCAUCCUGUCUCCCUCCCCACCCCUCUUCUCUGGCCAACUUUAGUGUCUUGGAUCCCUGCCCUUUUUACCCGUCUUUCCCCAGAGUUGGGCAGGGCGUUAGCUGGAUGCUCGGGGUUAAAUGGUACAGAACACGCAGGCGGAGGAGUCCCUGGGAUUUUCCACGUGUCUGUUUACCCACCCCCAUCUCGGCCAUGGGGUUCAGUCCAGACUGACCCAAUCUCUGUCCCAUUGUUUCUUCACAGGCGAUCUGUGGGUGACUGUGUCUGCGAGAGACUUUGCCACACCAUUCUGCCAGAACUUGGAGAAAAAGAACCCGCCGCUUCUAGUCCCCUCCCCCUCCGCCACCAUUUCGGACACCCUGCAUACUCUCGUUUUGGGGUACCCUGUGACUUCCAGGCAGCACGCGAGGUCCACUGGCCCCAGCUCGAGCGACCACCUGUCUCGGACGUGUUGACUCAUCUCCCAUGACCCUGCGGUGCCUGGAGUCCUCCGGGAAUGGAGCGGACAGGACGCGGAGCCAGUGGGGGACCGCGGGGUCGCCGGAGGAACAGUCCCCCGAGGCGGCGCGGCUGGCGAAGGCCCUACGCGAGCUCAGUCAAACAGGAUGGUACUGGGGAAGUAUGACUGUUAAUGAAGCCAAAGAGAAAUUAAAAGAGGCCCCAGAAGGAACUUUCUUGAUUAGAGAUAGUUCACAUUCAGACUACCUACUAACUAUAUCCGUUAAGACGUCAGCUGGACCGACUAACCUGCGGAUUGAGUACCAAGAUGGGAAAUUCAGAUUGGAUUCUAUCAUAUGCGUCAAGUCCAAGCUCAAACAGUUUGACAGUGUGGUUCAUCUGAUUGACUACUAUGUCCAGAUGUGUAAGGAUAAACGGACAGGCCCAGAAGCCCCGCGGAAUGGGACCGUUCACCUGUACCUGACCAAACCUCUUUAUACAUCAGCACCGACUCUGCAACAUUUCUGUCGACUCGCCAUUAACAAAUGUACCGGUACGAUCUGGGGACUGCCUUUACCAACAAGACUAAAAGAUUACUUGGAAGAAUAUAAAUUCCAGGUACCUUGCUGAACUCUUAAAUGGUUCUAAGAGUUCACUGAAGAGUCUGGAUUUAAGGAAACAUGGUGAACAGUUUUAUUGAAAACCAAGGCUUGGAAAUGUUAGGUGACCCGCCCCAAGUCAGCCUUUCACAAGCAGAGCCCAGGGUGCGCUGUGAGUCACCAGUCGGACAUCACAGCUCUCGAUUUCGAACAUAUUUCCUUCCCACCUCGCCACAUUCCAUCUUGACACUGAGAGACUCAAGAUAUUUUUUCAACACAGCAUCCUCUGUGGCAAUUGCUUGACAAUUUACAGGGCUUCCAGGAACUGCAUGGAACAUAGUCUUAGGAUAUGCAAUAGAACCCAUCAGACUCUGGACAAAGUUCCACAGGCGAGACCAGAAGAGAAGCCUGCCUGCCCCUCGCUGAUUGCUUUAACCCAAGUUAAGACCAAGUUCAGGAUCCCUUGCCUGCUGAGAUGAUUGAGGGGUGUCAUAGGAGAAACUACAUCUGGGAAAUUUCUCACCAGGAUCUACUGAUCUCACGUCAACGGACUAUGGAGAACAAAUGUUGGUUUGGUUUGCCAAACAGAAGGACAGAGAGCACCCAGCACCCUUGUGGACCUAAUACACGUAGUUUCGGUUUGGUAUCUCUCAGCAGGAAUGUGGUUCUGUUUCCUGAUGAGAUUCUGUGGGCUGCAAGAGCUUCAGUAACGUCGUGGCAAUGUGGAAGAAGAAUGCCUCGCUGAACACCUGCACCUGGGGUUGGCUCAAACAGCUCAGGAGACCUUACCUGCUCAAGGCUCAGUUUCCAAACACUUCCCUUUCUUUCUGUUCUUCUGAACUGGAAGAUUCU